UCCAAAGCGGCCCAGCCCCGUCGGCCUCACGCGUGAAGAAAGGAUGUCCCAGGCUGACAUUUUAGCAGCACAGAGGGGUUCCAAUUCCUUAUGAAAUCACUGAUUUGAUGUUUAUUCUGUUUCCAAAAGUUAAGUCAAUUCAAGUAAACUCUUAGCUAAGAGAUAUUGUUAGGAGUGAGGAGAAAGGCCGGGACAGCCAGGCCUGUGAUGUGACACUGGUGCCACACUCAGAGGUUGCUGGGGCCACCCUGCAGGAGCCACUGGUCCACACAGAACAGAGGGUGCUGCUAAGUCUGUUUCCAAAACCAAGAGCCCGCAUGCACCUUUCCUGGAGGCGCAGACGCGAAGCACACGCUGACGCCAACUCCGCCCCUCACUGGCCAGGACUCUUGACUUUUCUGCGCCUCAAUUUUCUGCUCUGUAAAACGCAGUUACAGGGACCACAGAGCAACAGCUAUUGAUUAAAUGCAAGGCAGAGAGCCCUGGGAAAAAAGGGCUGUCUUCGCUCCAGGCCAAGGAACGUGCCAAGGCUUGGCUGAAUUCACCAGGACAGUAAUGGUGUUACCUGGCUUCUCUACACCCAGGCUGCUGCCAGUGAUGCUGGAGGAAGUAUCUGCUUGGUUCAGGGUAGUUCACACCACUCCCUUCCCUGCAAAAUGUGUGAGGCAAAGCCCUCCUUUCUUUAUUUUUAGAAAACCAGAGAAUCCUCAUCACUAUUUGGAGUCGAUUCCCUAGUCCGAAUAUUACCAGCGUCGGCUCCGAAGACACACUUUCUAUCAGCCACGACCUGCGUUGGAUAUAGAUGAGCUUGUGGAGAUGACGUGAAAUCCCUCAGGAGGUGGAAUAAUGUCGUUUAAAGAAGCCACAUUGUAUCCAGAGGGCCAGAGCCAUUAAGGAGCACGGGACUCACACUGUGUUUCAAUAUUGCUGGCUGCUAGAUUGCUUCCCACUAAACACAACUCCUGGCAGUCACCUGUAAUUGAUUACCCUGCCUGUCCAGCAGCUUCUAUUGUUUUUAUUUGUAAGGAAACUGAGAACUCGAUUCUCAUCAACAUCCCCAGGUCUCUGAAAGGCUAUUUCAUAAAAUUAAAGUUUUUCUCCUAUAAAAAACUUUUUUUCCCCUGAAGCAUGAGGGUUUGAAUCCAGCCCAGCUUGGUAAUUGACUGGGAGGCAUUUGGCUACAGGCAUUCUGAUUGCUUAAUGAGGGAGUGACGCUAAACUGCCAUUUCUUGAGCACUUAUUACGUACAAGU
rnacentral:lncRNA from 1 species